UUCCCAACAAUGUAGAGAGUAACAACAGGUGUAGACUAACAGUGAAAUGCUGACGGGCCCUUCCCAACAAUGUAGAGAGAAACAACAGGUGUAGACUAACAGUGAAAUGCUGACGGGCCCUUCCCAACAAUGUAGAGAGAAACAACAGGUGUAGACUAACAGUGAAAUGCUGACGGGCCCUUCCCAACAAUGUAGAGAGAAACAACAGGUGUAGACUAACAGUGAAAUGCUGACGGGCCCUUCCCAACAAUGUAGAGAGAAACAACAGGUGUAGACUAACAGUGAAAUGCUGACGGGCCCUUCCCAACAAUGUAGAGAGAAACAACAGGUGUAGACUAACAGUGAAAUGCUGACGGGCCCUUCCCAACAAUGUAGAGAGAAACAACAGGUGUAGACUAACAGUGAAAUGCUGACGGGCCCUUCCCAACAAUGUAGAGAGAAACAACAGGUGUAGACUAACAGUGAAAUGCUGACGGGCCCUUCCCAACAAUGUAGAGAGAAACAACAGGUGUAGACUAACAGUGAAAUGCUGACGGGCCCUUCCCAACAAUGUAGAGAGAAACAACAGGUGUAGACUAACAGUGAAAUGCUGACGGGCCCUUCCCAACAAUGUAGAGAGAAACAACAGGUGUAGACUAACAGUGAAAUGCUGACGGGCCCUUCCCAACAAUGUAGAGAGAAACAACAGGUGUAGACUAACAGUGAAAUGCUGACGGGCCCU